CUGGUGUCUACUCUGAACAGGAAAAUCUGAAGCAGAACUCCUGGUCUGGAGAUGAUAUAUUUCAGACAUUUUAUGCACAGAUUUGCCACUUUCAUAUCUGAAGGAGGGUGAGUCCAUUGUGAUGUCUGAGCUGGCUAGUCCUCUUGGGAGGACAGGUUUCACAGAAAGCCCCAAGUCCACUAAGCCUAUAAACUUUCACAUACCAAAGAGGAACUCUUAAUUUCAAGACUGUCUGAGGUGAGCUUUCUGGUAAGUCGAGGGUUCCUUUUGUAAUGCAAAUAGACCUUCCCCUAUGCCAUUAUCCUUUCUUGAGAGUUGGGAAAAUGCAUGCCCACCUGUGUUUCAGUCACCAAGUACCAGGAAAGCAGAACAUAAUAGAUGGAGAGCCCUAGGAAUAUUUCAGCCCGAGCAGCGUGGUUCACUGCUGUCUAUGACAUGUUGUUAAAUUAUUGAUACCAAGCCAGAUUUUGGGACACAGGCUUUGUUGUUCAUAGCUAACAAAGCCACUAGAGAGAAGCCUUAAUGAGAGAGCCGGGACUUAACAGUGAUGGGGUGAGGCUUCUGGGCUACAAGGCUCUCCCAGAACGGGGAGAAGGCUACAAAUUACCUGGACUGACCACUCUUGCAAAGAGAAAGAGAAAAUAAGUGCAUUAAUGAAAUUCUUAGAACAGAUGGCAAACUGUCCUUGGAUUCUCUAGUGGGGGAAAAGGGGAAAAAAACUUCCAAAGAAUAUUUUAUAUGAGUGUCUCACACAGAACCACUUACUCUGAGGACUCACAGAGAGCUAUCUAAGAGACAUUCGGUUAAAUUAUUUAACAGAAGAUGACAGAAAAGAAUUAGAGAAAGAAAAUUUCCUAUCUCACUUUAAAACCACAAUGUGCUCUCUAUCCACGGGUAAAUCUCUGGGUCCAGAUGGUUGCCCAACAGAAUUUCAGCAAACAUUUGGAGAGAUAAUAAGGCCUGUAACAGUAGAUAAUUACUCACUUAUAUAUGGCUCAGUGCCCCCUCAUCUACAUAGGUUUCUAUAGCAGGGUUUUUUGCCAAAAGAAAGCAGGCAGACCCCUCUCUACCUUCUCAUUUGUAGCAUUUUCCUGCUUUGCUCUGGAUAGGCGCCAGGUACCUCCUCUGCAUCCUACUGUUCGUAGGAAGAACUUGGCCCGGAAUGGCAAGGUUAGGGAAAAGGAAACAUCUUGAAAUGUAGAAGCACCCGUGAGGAAUCCCUCCAGGAAAAUAGGAAAGGGUGCAAUUUAAUUAAGAGACAAGAAAACAGGAGGGAAUCGCUAGAAAGAAGAGGUUCAAGGGCAAAGGGAAGGGAACAAGAGACAGUCCCCAGGGGGAGGGGUAUGAUUAUUAUGUCAUAGAUACUUGGAUGCAAUUGUCUAGACAACUCCAUGUUGUACAUGGAUCUGAAUCUUCAAAGCAAAUUACAGAACAGAAGUGAUGUAGCAACACUGCCAUUGACGCACAUGGGGUGUAUUUUCAGGGUACAGUGAGAGGCUGUUAAACUCAGGUGCUUCAUGGAGACGGAAGUCGUGAACUCGUCUGGACUUUUACAAGGAUGAAUAGACCCACCCUCUCACCAGCAUGACCUUCAGUUACCAGGAUAAUGCAAGAAGACUGUGGAAGGAUCGAUAGCAGGGAAGCAGAAUGGGACCUUAAGGUAAUUUUCAGGGAUGUUAUAAGAUGAUAGUAAACCCAGGCAGAUAUGUAUAUCUGUGAUCAGAGGCCUCUGGAACAACAUCUCCAGCCCUGCCCUUUGAAGUGGAAAGUAUUGUCCCCUCAUCAGCCAGAGCAUCUGUCUAUGAAAUCAAAGGCAAGAAUAUUUAAUUAGUAUGAGUACCAAGAAGCCUAUCCAAGGGAAUCUGUGUCACUUAGAAGCCAUUGAGACUAAGUCUUUCUGAGACUGAGUCUUUCUGACAGGACAGAUUCCAUUUUUCUCCUUUUCUCUAGAAUUUCGUGAAGACAGAUGACAGUCUUCACUUGUCUAAGAAAAGAAAUCACUGAUGUCCCAAUGAAGGCCAAAUUCCUGCAGAAGAUGCUGCUUCAGAGUUUCUUCAUGCGACAGCCAGCAGGCUCUGCUUUACAUGGACUUCAUCCUCCAUCAACAGCAAAAUCUGCCUCUGAAGACACCAUAUACUGCUUCUAGGAUGUAGUAUUCUCUUAACCCCUCUAUCCUCUCCAAACCUAACACGCUCAUCUUGCUGAGCUUUGCCGUUCCCCAUGCUACGUUCUGGAGAGGGGCAAGGAUCUCUGGGCCUUAAGUGCAGGAGUCAUGUUGUAGAUGCACCACUUGGUGAUGGGCAACAUAUAGUCACUUUUCUCUGCAUUUUGGUAAGCUGUGGUUUCUGUAUUCUAAUUUUUAACACUUAUUUAUUUUUAUGUGUGAAUGUGUGUGUUUACGUGUGGGUGUCAUUGUGCAGAUGCAGAGGUUAGAAGAUAUUUUGUGGGAGUUAUUUUCCUAUUUUAAGCAUGUGAGCUCCAAGAAUUGAACUCAGGUUAUCAGCCUUGACAGCAAGCACCUUUAUAUGUUGAAACAUCUCAGAAUCAUCCUAAUAUCAGCUAGGGAAUUUUUAAGUUUUAUGACUUUGGAUUUGAUUAGUUCCUAUAAAUUAGAGGUUAGUAAUUGAUACCUUGAAUGAUUGUCUUGAAAAAAAGAGGUGUAAUAUGUAAACAAAAUGAAAGGUGUUUCCUAAUACUACAUGCAUGCUAAGAGCUCUUCAUUGUCUUGGGACAAAUAAAUACAGAGACAUGAGUAGUUAAAUUGAUAAAUUACAUAUAUAAAUCUCUAUUGAAUAUUCAGAAGCUUGUCAUGGUAAUAAGCCAUUCCUGCUGCAAUAAUUAAUUUUACCUGAUAACUUGGGAAACGGAUUAUCAAAACAACUGACCAGACAUGUUGGGUCUAUCUGCGAGAAUUCUUCCAGAUGAGAUUUCAUUGAAGGCUGUAGGAAGAAUAAGCUGGUUUCAUAUCCCAAGACUGGUGGGCUGGAACUAAUCUGUUGAAGACUUGAGAGAGUAACAAGAUUGGGACUGAAGAUGAUCACUUUAUCCCUGAUGACUUGAGGUGGGGCGCAAUUAUUCACCUUUAGAAUUUAAGUUAAAGAGUCAGCUUGAAUCGAGUUCAACCAGUCAUUUUACAGAACAGGGUUAAUGUGUUGCCUCUUGUUGGUCUUCAGCCUGUCAUUGUAGGCUAUAGGGCUUUGCAGCUUAGUCAUAUCAGUCAUUACUUUAAGAUAAAUUUGUGCCUCUGUGUGUGUGUGUGUGUGUGUGUGUGUGUGUGUGUGUGUGUGUGUAUGUGUGUGUGUGUGUGUUCUCUUUAAUAGUGAAUACUGGUGAAUAUUUCAAGUUUCUAUUACUUUGAACUUUCAGGCAAAUCAUCACAACUCGCAACAAAGAAAGUCUGUUUGUUUGUUUGUUUCUACAUACCAAAGACUCACAAUGAACAGAUAUGUAUCCCAAUGUUCCCUUCAGUUUCCAUUUUACAUGCUGUUACUCUGAAAUUUAAUGAUAACAUAUUUAUUUACAUAUGCUAAAAAGUCAGAAAGCCUUAGGGAGGAGGUAAAACUAAACUAAGGAACAAUUGUUUUCCUAUCCCUGAGGCCCAUGGGAUGAAUUUAUAAUGUGAACAGUAGGGUUCCAGCUCAUCUCUGACUUGAAAAGUGUUUGUCUUGGAUACUAACUCAGCAUCCUGUGAUAUCGCACCGUCUGAGUCACCUUCAAAGGCAAGAGAGAAUUUUUAAAGGCAGGAUGCCAUUAUUUCUCAGACACAUAUACACUGCCCCUCCACAAGCAAAGAAGCACAUGCUAACAGAAAGAUGGUGCUGCACCAAAUCUGAUGCUUAGAAAAAGAACAGAAAAUAAGAAUAUAAAAGUAACACAAGGACCUGGCUUUGCACAUAAUUCUCUGUUCAGUAGCUAAGGAGGGAACAUUUGCUUAGAACAUGAAGAGAACUAGUGUACUUCUAAGUGGAUGAUAUAUCAAAUGACGAUUUUAGAAGUAUCCAUUAUUCUUCAAUUAAAUUCAAAAAAUAAUAAAAUGUGGUUUCAUAUAAUAGAGAGAGGGGGGUUACAUUGUUGGCCUAAGUGAUACUUACAAAUUACAACAGUUCUCGGAGCUCAGUGUGUUUCCAGUGAAGUAGGAUACAUGAGAAAAUUCACAAAAUAACCAGACUUUCUCUUCCGUUUUCAGCUUAUGUAAGAUUUACCAGUACUUAAAACAAGUAGAAAAACAUGGAAAUAUGUCUUAGAGGCAUAAGACAAAAAAGAAAGAGAACGAAAGUAUAAUGAACCACUGGUUUCUGCAUUAGGACUCAGUAAAUACCAAAUAUAAGAAAUAUACAAAAGAAGCAAGUGCCUGUUAUUUAUUUGUGUGUGUGUGUGUGUGUGUGUGUGUGUGUGUGUGUGUGUGUGUGUGUGUAUGUGUAUUAAGAAAGAAAAAGACAGAGACAAACAGAGAUGAGACGGAGACAGAGAAGGUGUCAGGACAACUUAUAAAAGUCAGUUCUCUCCAACCAUUAAGGACCCUGGAGUUUGAACUUCAGUACUCAGGCUUGGCAGCGUCUUUAUUUGUCCAACUAUCUGUUAGUGACUGCUUUACCACAUCUUAAAUAUAUCCAAUCAUUAGCCACCCAAACUACCAAAAAAGCCCAUUACUCAAAGGUACUUAUUCCUUCUUUAAAUGCACAAAACAAGUGACCUACUUUACUGUCAAUUCAAUCAAUAUACUAUUCAAUCAAUUCACUUUUUAUUCAACACUUUAUAUAAACAACACAUAAUCCUAAAUUUACACUAAAAUGAAAACAAACAUGUGUUGUCCCCACAAAGCUUAUAACCCAGCUGCGGAGUUAAGAAUAUCAGAUAUGUGUACACAUAAGGAGGGAGAAUUAUAACAGAAAGUGAAUGUUUAUGAAUGGGUUUGUCCCAUUCAUAAAAUACUCACAGGAAUGGGCUAUACAUUCUUCAAGACAAAAGGCUGAAGGUGUCACUGGAGAUAAAGAGUCUGUGGAGAAAGCUCCAAGCAGCCUUGAGGAGAAGGGGCUAAUAGCUCUCCUUGAUGAAAUAAGCACGUCCUGUGUCGGCUGUCAAUAGAGGAGGGGUUUCAGAAGCAGACAUGCAGGGUCAAAAACUGUGAAUUUUAUUCCAUGAACGGUAAGGAACACUUAGAGGAUUUUGAGUGGAGUGUUCCUUUACUGAAAUGACCUUUUAGAUAUGAGAUCUACAUGACGUAUGCAAUUCUGUUUUCCGGGAAGCAAUAGCAGUAAGUCUAGAUGAUGACAAAGAGGUAGAUGUGAAACUCUGAAGGUAAGAAGUAAUGGUGUCGAGGUCAAGAGCCCCGAACUGUGCAGGACCUGGGUCACCUGGGCCUCUGCUUGUGAUCUCUUCCCACUUGAAGCAGUUUCUGUGGUCUUUUAACUUUAAUUUUUAAAAUUAUUUUCACUUAAUUUAAGUACUUCGAUUUUUAUAGCUUGUGUAAUGAAAGUCUCCCUUCCUGUGGGGCAAGCUGACCCUCACCACUUACCUAGACAAAAACUUGCUCAGUCUUCAACUUUGUCACCUGGGCCAAGGAGUGGAGGCAGGUUUGUAGAAUAUUCUCCGGAUUCCCUAUUCAUCUGAAUAUUGGAAUACAGUGGAAGUGAGUUUUAUCCUUUUGCUCUCCUGGUUAAUCAAGGUCGUGCUUGACGGAAGUGGAGCUGCCAUCCUUCUGGAAGCCAUGCAAAUCUCCUGAAUAUUAGAGACACACAUUGAGAACUUCACUCAAAGGCAGGAUGGAUGUCAAAGAACAUAACGGACAGAAUUCUCACACACUCUUUUAUUAGCAUGAUGCUUUCGUUUUUACACAGAAAGGGACAAAGAAGAUGGGCUUAGCAUCUUACAGGCUCAGGUAGAGCCCUGCAGCCUAGAAGGAAGCUACUGUGGCUCUGUGCACCUUCCUCAUCUUAGAAAAGAAAGCUUUUCUUGUCCUUGCUCACAUUCCCUUCCUCUUUUCCUUUUCCUCCCGACUCUGAUCCCCUCUGUUAUCUUUCUUGUUUCCACCCAGGUUUCUAGUUGUUCCGGGUCUCUCUCCUAAGGAUAAUAAUUUUAUUUUUCCGUUUCCCUGAACAAAAGAUUGAGCACGGAGUACUGAUUUCUGAUUAUCACAGCUCUUCCUCUCUGUUAGCAAAAAUAGCAUGUUCCUUUCAGAAGCCCAAAGGUGGAGCUGUUGUAAAAGGAGAAAGCCAGGCACACUGAAGGGGCCACCAGCACGCACACACAUACACCAUCACCAACACAUACGUACUGAAACUGCAUGGAGGGGAUGCGGAUCCCAGAGGCUUUGCUUCCAAAAUAUAAACAUUGCCCCCGCUUUUGUCCCAAUGAGAAAUAAAAAUCCUGAUUACAGCAGAUGCAUUACUGCCAAAUUGUGCAAAAUAGAACAAGUAUUAAGUGUCUGCUUAACCCCCUUUAAUUGUUAAUUCCAUGCACUUUAGUUGAUUCCAGUAUUAUCAAAAUAACUGCAGGGAGAACGGAUUGAAAUUCAUUUCAGUUCAUUAAUACCACCAUUUAUCAGCAUAAUGUCCUAUAGAUAAUGAUCGGAGGGUCAUUCUAUUUUCUCCAUUUCUGAACUGCUGUAGAGUACACUGAAAAGCCCCAAGAGUGCUUGCAUUUCCCUACAAAAGCUUUCACCAAAUGUCUCUCACAACACAGAGCCUCUGCCUCUGCCUAUAGUGACUUCUUGGUAUUUUGCAUAGAAGCAGCAUUUGUUCCUUUAAGAUCUUGACAUUGUGUUUUUCUUUCUGCUUCCUGAGAUGUGCCAAGCUUUAAAAGCCCAUUUUGUGGAAAGAAAAAUAUUCAGAACCUCCAGAGCUAUCUAAAGACAGUAGGGGAGUUGGCAAGAGGGCAGCAUAGCUCAGAGCUAACAUUCAGAUAAUAUGCAGAGGGUCCUCAGCCCAAUGCUGGGGGUAGGGAGAGAAAGAGACAGAGAGAAGGGAGAGAGUCCUCCUUCUAGAAUCAUUUGCUUGUUUCUUUGUCUGUAUCCCUGAAGCCAAGGACUUCUGACUGAUGUCUCAAACCAAGUAAACAAUCGAGCUAAUUUCAGCAAACCUCUUUUACUCUCAAAAUAUGACUUCACCCUUGUCACAGUAGUGUUUGCUUCUGACUGUGGCUUGCUGGACCGAUCAGGGACAAAGUAACCUGCAAUGCUUUAUGCCCCAGAGACAAAAAGGUAUUGAUCGUUUUUGCCUCUGGAAAAACAAGUUUCUAAUAAUUUUCAGAUAUGUUGUAGAUUGCACUGCUGUCUUUAAUUAAAGCAUGUAGUGAGACAGAAACCAUGGGCUCGCCUGUUUUAAUGGAUCUUGACACCUGAUUUACAAAGUGGCAUGGAUAAUCUCAGUCUGGUGAGUGUGUGUGUGUGUGUGUGUGUGUGUGUGUGUACAUGCUCAGGGUUGGUAUGUGUUUGUAUGUAUGUUCUCUGUGCUGUAUGUGUGCAUAUGUUCUUAGUGUUGGUAUAUAAACAUGUAAUGUGUAUGUGUGUGUGUGUGUGUGUGUGUGUGUGUGUGUGUGUGUGUGUGCUGGUGCUGCUUCUGCAACUCUCUCUCUCUGUGUGUGUGUGCUGAUGCUGCUUCUGCUACUCUCUCUCUCUCUGUCUCUCUUUCUCUCUUUCUCUUUGUGUGUGUGUGUGUGUGUGUGUGUGUGUGUGUUUCGUGAUUCUUGUCAACUAAGAUGCUUGUGCUCAGGGUUAGGAGUUUAUUCUUGGCUUUGCUGCAGGUGACAUUUAAACAUAGGUUUAUACCAAUGUAGUUAAAAAUGUAUAGAAGACUGAGUCUGGCCAGUCAUGCCCUUCCCUAUCACAUAGGUCACCAAGACUUCUGAUACAGGCUGGAGUCAUUAGAGUGGUUUUAUUUGUAAAGUUUGGUUCUGUAUGAUAUAGGGCCUAGGGAAACUGAAGAGAUGGCCCAUUGUUUAGGAACACACAUUGCUCUUUCAGAGGAUUGGAGUUCAGUUCCAGGCAUGUACAUCAGGUGGUUUGCAACCAUCUGUAACUCCAACUCAGGGGAUCCCACUCAUCUAUGUCUACAUGUAAAGCACAUGUUCACACACAUAUACAUACCCACCCCCACAUGCACAUACUUAACAUCAAUAUUUUCUUAAAGAGAUAGGCUUUGAGAAGGAGGAAUUAAGGCAAUAUAGGUUAAAUAAAACACCUUGUCAAGUAACGAGUACCAGAUGCAGAAAUAAAGCAAA